AGAGUGAACGCUGGCGGCAGGCCUAACACAUGCAAGUCGAACGGCAGCACAGUAAGAGCUUGCUCUUAUGGGUGGCGAGUGGCGGACGGGUGAGGAAUACAUCGGAAUCUGCCUAUUUGUGGGGGAUAACGUAGGGAAACUUACGCUAAUACCGCAUACGACCUACGGGUGAAAGCGGAGGACCUUCGGGCUUCGCGCAGAUAGAUGAGCCGAUGUCGGAUUAGCUAGUUGGUGGGGUAAAGGCCCACCAAGGCGACGAUCCGUAGCUGGUCUGAGAGGAUGAUCAGCCACACUGGAACUGAGACACGGUCCAGACUCCUACGGGAGGCAGCAGUGGGGAAUAUUGGACAAUGGGUGCAAGCCUGAUCCAGCCAUGCCGCGUGAGUGAAGAGGCCCUUGGUGUAAAGCACUUUAAGUGGAGGAAGGUUGUAACCUAAUACGUUGCUAACUUUGACGUUACCGACAGAAUAAGCACGGCUAACUCGU
rnacentral:rRNA from 1 species